GCCCAUCUGAAGAGUCCCAAGUGGGACGAAACGCGCUUCCUGAAU
rnacentral:hammerhead_ribozyme from 1 species